rnacentral:ncRNA from 1 species
AUAUAAAAAUUUAAUUUGUAUUUAAGGUUAACUUAUAUAUUUAAUAUAAUAUAUAAAACUUCCUGAGAUAUAAUUUAAAUAAAUAAAAUAUUUUUAAUAAAUAAAUUUUUUCUAUAAAGAAAUUUAUAUUUGUAAAAUUUAUAUAUUCGUUAAAUUAGGUGCCAGCAAUUGCGGUUAAACUUAAAAAUAAAAAUUAACUAUAAUUAAUUUUAAUUUAAUUUUUUUCAAUUAAAAAUAAUUUAAUAAUAAAUUUUAAUUUAAUGAUAAAAUAUAUUAAUUAAUUCAUAUUAUUAAAUUAUUUAAUUUUAAUAAAUUAAUAAAUUUAGCUUAAAACUAGGAUUUGAUACCCUAUUAUAUAAACGUAAACAACAAAUAAAGUAAAUUAUAAUAAAUGAAAUUAAUGAAUUUGAUAGUAUUUUAAUUUAGUUAGAGGAACUUGUUAUUUAAUUCGAUAAUCCACGAUAAGACAAAUUUAUACUAAUAAGCUUAUAUAUAUUCGUUUGCAAUUUUUUUUAAAAAAACAACUUUUAUAAUAAUUAAUUUAUUUAUUAAUAAUUCAGGUAAAUAUGUAGUUAAUGUAUAAAAAUAAAUGAGUUACAAUAAAAUAUUAUAUUAAAAAUCAAUCUUUUUAAAAAAAUUGUUUUUAAGAAUUUAAAAGUAAAAUUAAUAAAAUUUAUUAACUUGAUUAAAUAAAUUUUGAAAUAUGUACAAAUCGCCCGUCAAUUUGAUCAAUUUUGUGUAAAGAGAGAUUAAAUAAGUCGUAACAAAGUAAAUGUACUGGAAAGUGUAUUUAGAAUAUCUAAAAAGUAUUAAUA